UACGUAGGGGGCAAGCGUUGUCCGGAUUUAUUGGGCGUAAAGAGCGUGUAGGCGGCCUGAAAGGUCAGCUGUGAAAACUCGAGGCUCAACCUCGAGACGUCGGUUGAAACCGUAUGGCUAGAGUCCGGAAGAGGAGAGUGGAAUUCCCGGUGUAGCGGUGAAAUGCGCAGAUAUCGGGAAGAACACCCAUGGCGAAGGCAGCUCUCUGGGACGGUACUGACGCUGAGACGCGAAAGCGUGGGGAGCAAACAGG
rnacentral:rRNA from 1 species